rnacentral:ncRNA from 1 species
AACAGGUUUGGUCCCAGCCUUUCUAUUGGUUUUAAUCAAAACUACACAUGCAAGUAUCCGCACUCCUGUGAGAAUGCCCUAUAAAUCGUAUUUAUACGAUGUAAAGGAGUGGGUAUCAAGCACACCACUAGGUAGCUCAUAACGCCUUGCUCAACCACGCCCCCACGGGAAACAGCAGUGAUAAAAAUUAAGCAAUAAACGAAAGUUCGACUAAGUUAUGUUUUCUAGGGUUGGUAAAUUUCGUGCCAGCCACCGCGGUCAUACGAUUAACCCUAAUCAAUAGAUCUACGGCGUAAAGUGUGUUUAAGAUAAAACUAAGAUAAUAAAGUUAAACUCUAGCUAUGCUGUAAAAAGCCUCAGCUACUGUAAGCCCCUCUACGAAAGUGACUUUAAACAAUCUGAAUACACGACAGCUAAGACCCAAACUGGGAUUAGAUACCCCACUAUGCUUAGCCUUAAACUUAAGGAAUCAAGACAACAAGAUUCUUCGCCAGAGUACUACUAGCAAUAGCCUAAAACUCAAAGGACUUGGCGGUGCUUCAUAUCCCUCUAGAGGAGCCUGUUCUAUAAUCGAUAAACCCCGAUAAACCUCACCAACCCUUGCCAAAUCAGCCUAUAUACCGCCAUCUUCAGCAAACCCUGAAAGGGAAUAAUAGUAAGCUCAAUUACAACAUGUAAAAACGUUAGGUCAAGGUGUAGCUUAUGAGUUGGGAAGAAAUGGGCUACAUUUCCUAAUUAUAGGACACAAUCACUUAAACGAAAACUCCUGUGAAAUCAAGAGCUAAAGGUGGAUUUAGCAGUAAACUAAGAAUAGAGUGCUUAGUUGAAUUAGGCCAUGAAGCACGCACACACCGCCCGUCACCCUCCUCAAAUAUCAACGGUACUAUCUAAACAUAUUAAUACCUACCAUAAAUACUAGAGGAGAUAAGUCGUAACAAGGUAAGCGUACUGGAAAGUGCGCUUGGAUAACU